rnacentral:sRNA from 1 species
CACAGUAUAAUUUUAUCAACAAAUCAAGACUGGAGAGUGGCUUUCAUAUCAAGCAUGCCACCACUCAGAAGUAGAACCUCGAUUUUCCCAGCAUCCUGAAGACUGCACAUAAAACAAGCAACCAAAACCUCAUGUCCUGGAUAUGCAAGGAAAACAGAGUCGUGCUUCUUUAGCCUGGCAUAUGAGUGCUUUCGAGGACAGUGAUCAGAGAAAUUCCAAAUGGGCUAUUCUCGUUAGGCAGAGUAAGUCAUCGUUACCAAGAGCUUCCAAACCACCUAAGCUGCCGAAGCUACCAAA